rnacentral:misc_RNA from 1 species
GAUGAAGAACGUAGCGAAAUGCGAUACGUAAUGUGAAUUGCAAAUUCAGUGAAUCAUCGAGUCUUUGAACGCACAUUGCGCCCCCUGGUAUUCCGGGGGGCAUGCCUGUCCGAGCGUCAUUGCUGCCCUCAAGCACGGCUUGUGUGUUGGGCCCCGUCCUCCGAUCCCGGGGGACGGGCCCGAAAGGCAGCGGCGCCACCGCGUCCGGUCCUCGAGCGUAUGGGGCUUUGUCACCCGCUCUGUAGGCCCGGCCGGCGCUUGCCGAUCAACCCAAAUUUUUAUCCAGGUUGACCUCGGAUCAGGUAGGGAUACCCGCUGAACUUAAGCAUAUCAAUAAGCGGAGGA